UGCAAUUAUAAAUCAUCUCAUUAAGAAUAAAAUAAAAAAUUUGAAGAUAAAUUAUUACUACAUAUGAAAGAGCGAGCAUAUUUCUUUUGGGAUUGAAAAAGUAUUUCUUGAAAUUAAAAUAUUUUGAGUUCAUCAAAAUUUUAUUCAUUUUAGCAAUGAGUUGUUAGCACGGGCGCUUCGCAUAUAAAGAAGUAAAAAAAAAAAAAAAAGUAGAAAGUUAUAUAGUAGUACAAAACUAGAAAAGAACGGAAAUUGAGUAAGGUCAAAAAAUCCAAAACCUAGUCCUAUUGCUUUCUCUCCAUCCGCCACAUCCCUCCACGUUUCCUUUGUCAAUUCUUAACACAAAUCUUUAUUACUCCAUAUCAAAAUAUUAUAAGGGGUUCCUUGGUGUUAUGCAAUGGAGAAGGCUAAUUGAUUUUUUUUUUUUAAUUACGCACUGAAGGGGCAAAAGUGUUGUAUAUAUUUUAAGUGAUGGCUCCUCUUGUAUUAUAUCUACAUCAACAAAAUCUCCACAGCUGAUAUGUUAUAGAUUUUGAACACUUUUUUUUUCUAUUUGAAUCUCAUUCUUUUUCUUGCGGAUCUCACUCUUUGUCACCAUAUUUUUUGGCUUCUAAUAUGCAAUUCAGGAGAUGCUUUUGAUGGAAUUAAUCUUGCUCAUUUUUCAAGGCAAAUUUAUGACAUUACUAGAGCAGCAAUGACAAACUGGGGCAGAUAUUGAUCAAAUUAAGAUGCAAUUGGAGGUUGUGUAGAGGAGAGAAAUCAGAAGAUCGUGGUGGUUCGAGUCUCAAGCAAGAUUAUGCUAUUGUAAUUGGUGUCAUAGAUGAAUUAUGUAUUGUGAAUGUUUGUAAAUUUAGAUAUGUAACAAUGUGUAACUUGAGACCUGUUUUGUAAUCCAAAACUUUUGAUUCAUAUAGAAGAAUUAUUCUGAUUAACAAUGCUUUGUGGCAUAUUCUUCAAUUUGU